rnacentral:rRNA from 1 species
GACGAACGCUGGCGGCGCGCCUAACACAUGCAAGUCGAACGAGAGAUGAGGAGCUUGCUCUUCAAAUCGAGUGGCGAACGGGUGAGUAACGCGUGAGGAACCUGCCUCAAAGAGGGGGACAACAGUUGGAAACGACUGCUAAUACCGCAUAAGCCCACGGCUCGGCAUCGAGCAGAGGGAAAAGGAGUGAUCCGCUUUGAGAUGGCCUCGCGUCCGAUUAGCUAGUUGGUGAGGUAACGGCCCACCAAGGCAACGAUCGGUAGCCGGACUGAGAGGUUGAACGGCCACAUUGGGACUGAGACACGGCCCAGACUCCUACGGGAGGCAGCAGUGGGGAAUAUUGCACAAUGGGGGAAACCCUGAUGCAGCGACGCCGCGUGGAGGAAGAAGGUCUUCGGAUUGUAAACUCCUGUUGUUGAGGAAGAUAAUGACGGUACUCAACAAGGAAGUGACGGCUAACUACGUGCCAGCAGCCGCGGUAAAACGUAGGUCACAAGCGUUGUCCGGAAUUAUUGGGUGUAAAGGGAGCGCAGGCGGGAGAACAAGUUGGAAGUGAAAUCCAUGGGCUCAACCCAUGAACUGCUUUCAAAACUGUUUUUCUUGAGUAGUGCAGAGGUAGGCGGAAUUCCCGGUGUAGCGGUGGAAUGCGUAGAUAUCGGGAGGAACACCAGUGGCGAAGGCGGCCUACUGGGCACCAACUGACGCUGAGGCUCGAAAGUGUGGGUAGCAAACAGGAUUAGAUACCAUGGUAGUCCACACCGUA